CAGACCUCAAUGACACUCUACCUGAGCCGGUGGCCCUCGGCAUCGACCUCGGUGUCAUGAAGAACAUCCAAGAUUAUAUGGUCGAGAAGCUCAGCGUCGACAAGAGCAUCAUCCUAGAGCUCUGCAUCAUCCUCUACAAGCAAGUACCGAACCACCAUGGCCAUGCCACUGGCCAUUGUGCACCAAUUUGACGACAAUGAUUUCCACAGCUUUGUUCAUGGAUGGCUGGCUUAUGAAAAGCUCACGCCGACGCCUCCGGUGUGGCUUCCCCUACGCCUCCAGCAUAGG